UAUUUUAAACACGCGCCACCAUUAAUCGACAACUUAGUCAAAUCAAGCAAGUGGAAACGUCCCAUUAAUAAUGAAAGUGGGUGAGUGAUAAUGUUCGUUGUGGUAUAAACAAUGAUGAGUUAACUGAGUUUCUUUACACUUUACGGCUGAGUUACUUUACACUUUACAACUGAGUUACUUUAUACAUAACGGCCGAGUUACUUAACAACUGAGUUACUUUAUACAUAACGGCUGAGUUACUAUAAUACGUUAAGUCUGAGUUAUAUUAAUCGUAGGCUGACUUACAAAACAUUACUAGACAAAGUAGUAGUAGUAGCAAAGUAACGACAUUCCAACCCCACAAACAAACACAUUCCUCAAACACCGACCCUGACUCAUACAUUCUUCUCCUUUUCCCCC
rnacentral:lncRNA from 1 species